GCCGACCUGGAAGUCCCUUUUUCCUGGUGGGAGGCAGGGUGAUGGUGACCCAGGCCGGAGGCAGAGCCCAGCAGGCCCGGAGCAAGAUAAACAGCCUGCUCUGUAUUGUUCUCCCAGUAUCACAGAGAGGCUGUCAGCUUGAGUGAUUGAAGGCUGGACUUCCCAAAAUAGAAUCUCCAAGGCCGGACUCGUCUGUUCCAUCCACCCUGUUAUAAAUAACCUGUGUGUGUGCUCAUUUUAUGGAUUUGUGAAUCAAGGGAGAAGGUAAGAAAGGAGUGUGGGUAAGCAGGGGCAGAGAGAGAUUUGAUCACUGCCCGGGUGGCCUGAGAGAAAGAAGCCACUGAAGACAAUAAUGGGAGGUUUUCAAAGCUGCGAGUCAAACAGGGACAGAGAGGAAGAGCACAUAACCCCCCACUGACCUGCACACAUACACUCUGAUCAGGCUUUCUGAUGGUCUGCAUUACACUGAGCCUUCUUGAACCAACCAUCUCAUGUGGGAAUUGCUGAGAACAUUAAAACAAAUGUCAAUCAGAGCAAACAAGUAGUAUUAUCUGGAAGAUGCCAGGUUCAGAACAAAAUGACCAAGUAUUCGAGGAGGAAAGACAGCUAGAUUUAACCAAAGGUUUAUUUAUCAAGGAACUGCAGAGAACAGCAUCGGCUUCCAAGGCAGGCACCUCUGCUGAGGGAGAACACAGUUCCAGGUCAGCUACCAACAGGAUGCGAUGGACGCCGCUCUGAACUGAGCAGACGAAGGAAGGCAGGAUCACCCAGAGGUCGAAGACAAGGCUGUUGUCGAGGACAUGCUCAGGAGUCAGAGCCAGGAGAUCAGAGAUCUGUAGAGGCUGCAGUAAUCCCUGCAGGGCCUCUGACUCUAUCUGCAGCUGAGUCAGUGAGUGGUUGGCACACCCUGGAAAAGGUCAGCCACGCAGCAGACCAACCCUGUGUGCAAACGCCCUAACAUAAGACCCAUGGAGAGUGGGCGAGAAGCCAAAGCAAUGGAUGUUUCUGCAAACUCAUGCUGAUCCGUGGAAGUCACAGUUACAGAGACGCUCAGAUAACUCCCUGCUCUGCACACUGGUUUACAGUCUCUGCUUGGCGUCCGACUCCUCAGAGGUAUGUCUGCUAUGCUCAGUGCCGCUGCUGACCCCAUUUCCUAUCCUGCUUGAUUCGGAGCGGGACACCUAGUGGGAGAGGACUCCGUCGAUCAGCCUCUGUGUGAAAGAAGCCUCAGUUUAUUGUUUCUGUAAACCUGUUGAAACUCUCCGUAGAGGGCGGGGUUUAUGGUUACAGGGGGAGGUCAAAGGCCCUGUUGACUCUCAAGUCACUUUUGUGAAAGAGAAGAAUAAAUCAUUCCUGCUCUAGAUCUGCAAAUAUUUACUGUUAUCAUCCCACAUGCAGCUGCAAAUCGCUGUAACCUCUUACUUCAAGGAUGAACCAAGAGACAAAGUGUUUCUGCAGAAUGUUUUCUAAGACUGCAUGAACCUAUGUGGAAGACAUCUUUGGUUUGGUCAGAGCUUCAGAACUCUAGAAGCAGGGAAAGGGAAUCAACCAGGAGACCUCUGGGUGGG